CGAAUGAUGUUCUUCCCUCCACUUUGUUGGACUCUUUUUUUUCUGUGGGGUGGGGGAUCCUCUUUCUACUUGGUCCUUUAACUUAAUAAAAGAUUGGUUGCUCAUAGAAAAAUAUGUAUAGGGGGGCUAGUGCAAGCCAGGAACUAUCACCAUAAUACUUUCCAGUUGAUGUUAAUAAAAAAGCAAAACAAACGUAAGUGUUUAGAGAGAGAACACCGGCAGAAUUUCUGGAGUUUUGAAUUCCUCAAACGCUCUACUGUGGCUGAAAUGUUUCCUAUUCAUUCCCUUCCAUAUUUUUGCAUGUGCACAGUACCUUGGAUCGACCUGAAGAAUAUCAUAUUGGGGAGAAACUGUUGAGGGGACCCUAUUAUUGUAUAUAAGACUCCACUAUGGGUGACAAGAGCAAGAGUUUAAUUAUUGUCAUUAUUAUUAUUAUUAUUAUUAUUAUUUUUUUUUUAUGUUUUCUUAAGUUUUUUUUGUUGUUAUGUAAGGGCAUCUCUGUGGUUUUGGUUCUCAAACGUCUUUUAUAUUUCACUGAGGGAUGAGGAAUUUUUCGACUGCAAUAUGCUAGUUUUGGUUUACGAAUUUUAGUUUAAACAUCUUUAAGAUACUAAACUUUUUUAUUUCUUAUUUUUCCCCAGGAUAAGUACAUGCAGAACAGAUUAGUUCGGCUUGUAUGUGUUUUUCUACAGAGUUUAAUUCGAAAUAACAUCAUCAACGUGAAAGAUCUUUUCAUCGAAGUUCAAGCUUUCUGCAUCGAAUUCUCUCGGAUCAGAGAAGCGGCGGCGUUAUUCAGGCUUCUUAAAUCUUUGGAAUGAGUGAGAGUAAACCAAAGGCAUCCUUUUGUAAAUAGCAAUUGUUAGCCAUUUUAUACUCAAAAAGUCUUAGGCCCCUCUCUUCCCUUGUCUGUCUGUCUGUGGCUGUCUUAUGGUUUAGCAGAUGUUUGACUAAAUAUGUAUUAGCCUUUUUUUACCAAUUGUAUUUUGUUAUGGAUUUUUUGUAUGUUGCUUUUGCUGGCUAUUGAUUUGGAAACCCCUCAGAAUGGUGGCUUCAGGUUUUGUGGCCUAUGCCUUUCUCCAACUCAUUGCUGCCUUUUGUCGCCAAAAGAUUAGGGAUCCAAAUAGUUCUGUUGUAUUUUUUUACGCAAGUAAUGUCUCAAUUAAGUGCUCAUUUCUUUUA